UCAAAUGGAAAUGCCCUUUUGAAUAUUUUUAACAAAAAGAACUAAUUAAGCAAUUUAAAGAACUAGUUAAGUAUGCUUACGGUUCUGGUGUUCAUCGGAGGUCCCUGGUAGAAGCUCUGUCCACGGCGGAGCAGAAGCUAGACUAGCUGAAGAUAGAUCUGGAGCAGUGGCGAGCCGUGUGAAGAGAAGGCCACGAGAAGGUCGGUUUUUAGGGUUCAGUCGUCGAUGCUCGGUGAACCGUGUUCCCCUUGGUUUCGUCGGCUCUCGGCUCUGAGGCUGUGUCUCUCAAGUUACAGAUCUGGAAGCUGGUGUGGUUUUGGUGGCUUGUAACUCAGACCUGUAAGGAGAAGGGGCGUGUGGUGGUGCGUGAAGCAGACUCGGUGCGUGGGUGGCUCAACGCCCAUUCUUGCCAGUGUGAACUUUGGAGACUUACCUCUGGAGGCGCACCAGAGCUAAGAAGGCGGAUGUGUGUUCGUCGGAUUGACUCUCGUGAUGUGUGUGUUGUCUUUUCGGAAGACUGAAAGAAGCGUCUAUGGUUCAGACAGAGGAGGGAAGGGCAGCACUGCACUCUGACCAAACGAAGCCUCGACGUCGACGUGAAGACACCCUGUAGAAGAAGCUGUUCCUACAGUUCUCGUAGGCAGAGGGUGGCGAGUCUUGGACUUUCCCGUGUGGUCUCAGGGAGAGUUUCAAAGGCUUGGUGGCAAAUUCGCUUAGGAGUUUGGCAUUCGCAGUACCGAUCUAUUGUAACAUCUGGUAGCUUGGCUCCUUCUUCCAUUUACAUGUUCCCGACUGAUGGUGGACGGUGUCACUGCCUCGACCCGACUUUUACAGGAUUACAAAGCCUUAGUCUCUGGCCAUUUAGAAUCAACUGAGUGGAAUUUGCACCAAAGGUGUUAUCGCGGUUGGUCAUGAACAACAUUCUAAUCUUAAGGCAUCAACUGCUCCAAGCUUCAAUUGAGUCUCACUCUAGUUUUUUUUUUCUUGGUGGUUUAGAGAUAGUUUUGUAAUCUUGUUUUUAUAGUGGUAGAAUUUAGGUGGUUCAAGAGACGAUUUGCUCUGAGUCGUGGAGUAAAUUUGUUCUCAUUGUGGUUACAAGAGUACAAUGGAGUUUGAUUAGGUAGCGUAGGAUCCAUAGACGUGUUCUUAGGUGAUACUAGAUCGCCUCCAUUGUCUUGCGGUUAAAUCUCUUGAGGUCUAAUUCGUUUGUAACAAACUUUGUGUUGGAUAAUGAAAAUUGAAGUUGAACCAAAAAAAAAGAGUAUACAUUAAAGUUGGAC
rnacentral:lncRNA from 1 species